UUAGUCUAUCCGAAAACAAUUAGAUAGGUAGAUGUGGCGAACGAGCGUACAAAAGAUCCCAACCUGUGUCGCAAUCCGAAACAACACAGAAUGGCAGUGGCACUCUCAACAACUCCUCAACCCUGUGUUGUACAAAAGUUCCACUCUGUCUCCUCCAAAACCCUCCGAAAUUUCAACCCCCUUUUCAAACCCUCCACUCAAACCCUCUUCCUCAGCUUCCAAAAACCCAAAACCCAUCUCCAAUCUCCUCCUCGCAACACAAUCCGAUGCCUUUUCACCGGCAUUGUCGAGGAAAUGGGCCAAAUCAAGCAACUUGGCACCUCCCAAAACGGCGGUUUCGACAUGAAAAUCGGCGCCAAAACCGUUCUGGAGGGCGUUCACCUCGGGGAUAGCAUUGCAGUCAAUGGAACGUGCCUGACGGUGACUGAAUUCGAUACCCAAUUGUCCGAUUUCACAGUCGGUCUGUCGCCGGAGACGCUUAGGAAGACGUCUCUGAUCGAGCUCGAAGCCGGGUCACUUGUGAAUUUGGAGCGGGCGGUGCAGCCCACCAGCAGAAUGGGCGGGCACUUUGUGCAGGGUCAUGUGGAUGGCACAGGGGAGAUAGUGUCAAUGGAGCCCGAGGGUGAUUCGCUGUGGAUCAAGGUAAAGGCAUCAAAGGAGGUGUUGAAGUAUGUGGUGCCGAAAGGGUUUAUAGCCGUCGAUGGUACUAGUUUGACUGUGGUGGAUGUGUUUGAUAAAGAAGAGUGCUUUAAUUUCAUGUUGGUUGCUUAUACUCAACAGAAAGUGGUGAUUCCGUUGAAGAAAAUCAGGUCAAAGGUGAAUUUGGAGGUUGAUAUACUCGGGAAGUAUGUCGAAAGACUUCUCAGUAGCGGGUUUGUCGAUUCAUUCAAAUCUUCAUGACUCAUAAGGUCAUCACCCAUGCGGCUUGUACACACUUGUGAUUGGGUUAGCAACUGAGCCAAUUGGUGGCUGUAGGAAUGCUGUUCAGAAUUUUGGCCGCUUUUAGCUUCGCUGUUUGUUUUUUGGAAGCAUUUAUAGCACCAAGGGCAUCACUGUAAGCCACCGAUGCUCCUCAAGUGUGUUUUGGGCCUCAAAUUGCACAUUAGAAAAAUCAUUCUGCAGCGAGUCUGAUGAAGAUUUCUCUCAUAUUCUGUCCGGAAAGGCAUAUGAACUAAAUUAUGUAUAGUAUUGUAGGGUUUAAAUUUUUCUGUGUCAAA